rnacentral:lncRNA from 1 species
GGACCACCCUCGUAUAGCUACAAACCCCGAGGCAAUUUUCCAGGUAACCUCAAUUUUGGGACAGGGGAAGUGUCUGAUUGACAGAGAAUGACCCAUAUAUAUAUAUAUAUUUUUUUUUUUUUAAAGAGCAGUAUCCGCUGAACCAAAAUCGCUAAGAGACAAUAAUUGACUAUUUAAAGAUAAAUCAAGAAGGAUGAUGAGCAAAACAGGACAAAUAUUAAUUACGUCAAUGUUACAAUGGUAAGUUUUUCAGAUUAUAUUUUAUUGCGUGUGCAUGGUAAACAUUGUUUAUCUUUUUUCUUUUUAAACCGUCAUCUUUUUAAACUGUCAACCUGACAGUUAUAUGUAUGAAUGUUUGGCGAACUGUAGUAAAAUACACUAAUUAAAAGUAUCGCAUGAAAAUCAUAUUGUUGCAUUCGUUUGUAAAAACUUGUCCUUCAAGAUUCAUCCUAUUAGAUAUGAAACGAUAUCUUCCUAAAAUCCUUCGUUCGUAAGUUAUCCAAUGCCGGUACUCGAUGAAUGUCAAUUUUAAACGACACAAGAACGUAUGUAUUGUCUUUAUACCAGAUAUUUCACUAUUAAAACAGAUAUUAAACAAAAUGUUUAUAACAUGCUUUAUAAAAUUUUUAUAAAAUUGGAUUAGUUAUAUGUAAGAGUACAAUUAAUAAAAACGCCGCCAUCGCAUCCCUCUUGACAAACUCGUUUUUCUAUGAGAGGAAAGUAAGAUGUGUUCAAAACAUAAUUAUACUCUUCCCCCGAAAGAAAACUUGUACUUUCAAUUUUAUACUAAAAACUAAACGUUUUAUUGCGAAUAAUAAAAGAUGUUACGAAAUUACAGUCGGUUUUCAUACAAUUUCGGAAAGAUGAUGUUACGAUUGUCGUUGUUAACAUAAACUUAUAUCAUAAACAAGAACAUUAUUGAGUUACUUCUUAGAAGACUUUAAGGAUACUAUUCUCUUACCAUUCUCUUCUCUGACUCAUAUAACUGAUUUUUACUCGUGAUAUAAUCUUCAAGGGAAACGACUCACUGAUCGGUUAUCCUUAUAUUUCAGAAUGCAUAAACAAGAAAAUUGCUUCAUAUAUAUAGCUACGAUGAAAAGCACUGCUUACAUAAUCGAAGGAGAUUAUAAGUAGCAAGUACGUCGAUAGAACGCGGCAGAAUGUAACGAACGUCCACGAGUUAUUGAUAUUAUAAUCGUGAUCCAUUUGUGACUUCGAUUAUAACUUUCGAAACUUUCGAAAAUAACGUGCCAGUUUCGACGAUCGCUUGCUUCAUCGAAACGUCGACAUUAACAAUGAAGUUUUUCAUGAAAGUGUUGCUCGCGCUGGUGUUGUUAAUCGUGAUCGUUUUAUCACCAGCGAUUUGUAAAGACGUGAAUGCUGGAGACUAUGAAGAAGACCAAGAUGAAUGGGAUCGUAUAUUGAAUACUACAGAUAAAAAUCCACCGACUACUCCAAGACCCCAGAAUAGUUUGCCGAGAAGUGGUCUCUUUGACGGUUCUAUCCUAAUUUUCCAAGAUCUACCAACAUGCCCAGGAAAUCAACGGCGAGACAAAGAUGGGAAAUGUCGAGUAGUAGAAUAAUUGUAUUUACUAAGGACGCGAAACUUGCUAAGCGUAAAUCGCUAAGAGACUGGUUAUUUAAGGAAAAAUCGGGAAAUAUGACGAGUGAAAUGGGAUAAAUAUUAAUAAUGUCUAACAACGCUGCGAUAGAAAUUUUAUUAGAUUAUAAUUUAUUGUACGUGGAAGACAUUGAACACUUUUCAAACUGUCAGAUUCACAGUUGUGUAUAACAAUAUUUUGCGAAUGGCAGUGAAAUAUAUCGACUCAAAGUGACGCAUGAGAA